CCUUGGGUCCGGCAUAACCCCGGGAAACUGGGGAUAAUUCCGGAUAACGCACAUUUGCUGGAAUGCUUUAUGCGUCAAAUGGAUUCGUCUGCCCAAGGAUGGGUCUGCGGCCUAUCAGGUAGUAGUGGGUGUAAUGUACCUACUAGCCGACGACGGGUACGGGUUGUGAGAGCAAGAGCCCGGAGAUGGAUUCUGAGACAUGAAUCCAGGCCCUACGGGGCGCAGCAGGCGCGAAAACUUUACAAUGCGGGAAACCGUGAUAAGGGGACACCGAGUGCCAGCAUCAUAUGCUGGCUGUCCGGGUGUGUAAAAUACACCUGUUAGCAAGGGCCGGGCAAGACCGGUGCCAGCCGCCGCGGUAAUACCGGCGGCCCGAGUGGUGAUCGUGAUUAUUGGGUCUAAAGGGUCCGUAGCCGGUUUGGUCAGUCCUCCGGGAAAUCUGACGGCUUAACCGUUAGGCUUUCGGAGGAUACUGCCAGGCUUGGAACCGGGAGAGGUAAGAGGUACUACAGGGGUAGGAGUGAAAUCUUGUAAUCCCUGUGGGACCACCUGUGGCGAAGGCGUCUUACCAGAACG
rnacentral:rRNA from 1 species